rnacentral:misc_RNA from 1 species
GUGAAUCAUCGAAUUUUUGAACGCAAAUUGCGCCUUUUUCGGAAGGCAUGUCUGUUUGAGGGCCACAUUUAAUAAAUAUUGUGCUGUGUUUUUUGUUGCACACGUCGAUGAGUUUUCCAAGUAUUUUAAAUUUUUGGUGGCGCAUAAUGAACAGCGAGUAAGUUUUUUUCAGUUCGAGUGUAGUAAAUUCUUUGUUUGGUUUGUGAAAAUACAUACUCGCGAAAUGGGUGUGGCAAUCUCU